rnacentral:rRNA from 1 species
ACGCUGGCGGCACGCCUAACACAUGCAAGUCGAACGAAGUAGCAAUACUUAGUGGCAGACGGGUGAGUAACAUGUAGGUAUCUGCCCUUUGGCCUGGAAUAACACGAGGAAACUUGUGCUAAUACCGGAUAAGUCUUUACGGAGAAAGCUUUAUGCACCAUUGGAUGAGCCUGCACUUGAUUAGUUUGUUGGUGGGGUAAUGGCCUACCAAGACUGUGAUCAAUAGCUGAUUUGAGAGGAUGAUCAGCCACAUUGGGACUGAGACACGGCCCAAACUCCUACGGGAGGCAGCAGUGGGGAAUCUUGCACAAUGGAGGAAACUCUGAUGCAGCGAUGCCGCGUGAGUGAAGAAGGCCUUUGGGUUGUAAAGCUCUUUCGUCGGGGAAGAAAAUGACUGUACCCGAAUAAGAAGGUCCGGCUAACUUCGUGCCAGCAGCCGCGGUAAUACGAAGGGACCUAGCGUAGUUCGGAAUUACUGGGCUUAAAGAGUUCGUAGGUGGUUGAAAUAGUUGGUGGUGAAAUCCCAGAGCUUAACUCUGGAACUGCCAUCAAAACUUUUCAGCUAGAGUAUGAUAGAGGAAAGCAGAAUUUCUAGUGUAGAGGUGAAAUUCGUAGAUAUUAGAAAGAAUACCAAUUGCGAAGGCAGCUUUCUGGAUCAUUACUGACACUGAGGAACGAAAGCAUGGGUAGCGAAGAGGAUUAGAUACCCUCGUAGUCCAUGCCGUAAACGAUGUGUGUUAGACGUUGGAAAUUUAUUUUCAGUGUCGCAGGGAAACCGAUAAACACACCGCCUGGGGAGUACGACCGCAAGGUUAAAACUCAAAUGAAUUGACGGGGACCCGCACAAGUAGUGGAGCAUGUGGUUUAAUUCGAAGAUACGCGCAGAACCUUACCAACACUUGACAUGUUCGUCGCGACUCUAAGAGAUUAGAGUUUUCGGUUCGGCCGGACGAAACACAGGUGCUGCAUGGCUGUCGUCAGCUCGUGUCGUGAGAUGUUGGGUUAAGUCCCGCAACGAGCGCAACCCUCACUUUUAGUUGCCAUCAUUUAGUUGGGCACUCUGAAAGAACUGCCAGUGAUAAGCUGGAGGAAGGUGGGGAUGACGUCAAGUCCUCAUGGCCCUUACGUGUUGGGCUACACACGUGCUACAAUGGUAUCUACAACAGGAAGCGAAACUGCGAAGUUAAGCAAAUCCCUAAAAGAUACCUCAGUUCGGAUUGCACUCUGCAACUCGAGUGCAUGAAGCUGGAAUUACUAGUAAUCGUGGAUCAGCGUGCCACGGUGAAUGCGUUCCCGGGUCUUGUACACACCGCCCGUCA